rnacentral:rRNA from 2 species
AAAAACAUGUCUCUCUGUAAUUUUUAUAUGAUGAUAUAGGGAGUCGGACCUGCCCGGUGACUAUAAUGUUAAACGGCCGCGGUACCCUAACCGUGCAAAGGUAGCAUAAUCAUUUGCCUUUUAAUUGGAGGCUGGUAUGAAUGGUUUGACGAAAGCUAAGCUGUCUCUUUUAAAAUAUUUAAAAAUUAACUUUUAGGUGAAGAGGCCUAAAUUUAUUUAAGGGACAAGAAGACCCUGUUGAGCUUUAGUGAAACUGUAAAUUUAUUGGAAUAGUAUAUAUUUAUCAGAGCAUAUACUUGUGUAUAAUUGUAAUUUAUGGUUAAUCUUUAGUUGGGGCGACUGAGGAACAAAGAAAGCUUCCUUUAGAAAUAAGAAUAAUUUUAAUUGCUAGUGAAAUUUGUAAUGAUGCCGUCAGGUUAUUUGAUCCAAAUUGUUUUGAUUAAAGGAAAAAGUUACCACAGGGAUAACAGCGUAAUCUUUCUGGAGAGAUCUUAUCGAAAGAAGGGUUUGCGACCUCGAUGUUGGACUAAGAUAUCCUAAGGGUGUAGAAGUUCU